UGUCACGUUUGUUUCCUACUGCUGUAUAGCCGUAUAGCCGUAUAGCUGUAUACCUGCAACAGGCUGGACAGUCCAGUAACAGGCCAGGAUCUGUGUCAUGUCACGUUUGUUUCCUACUGCUGUAUAGCUGUAUACCUGUAUACCUGCAACAGGCU